rnacentral:rRNA from 1 species
ACAACGCUGGCGGCGUGCCUAAUACAUGCAAGUCGAACGGUCUUUUCUAUGGAAGCUUGCUUCCGCUGAGAAGAUAGUGGCGAACGGGUGAGUAACACGUGGGUAACCUGCCCAUAAGAGGGGGAUAACAUCCGGAAACGGGUGCUAAUACCGCAUAGUUUUCUUGAUCGCAUGAUUGAGAAAGGAAAGACGGCCUUUGUGCUGUCGCUUAUGGAUGGACCCGCGGCGUAUUAGUUAGUUGGUGAGGUAACGGCUCCACCAAGACGAUGAUACGUAGCCGACCUGAGAGGGUGAUCGGCCACAUUGGGACUGAGACACGGCCCAAACUCCUACGGGAGGCAGCAGUAGGGAAUCUUCCGCAAUGGACGAAAGUCUGACGGAGCAACGCCGCGUGAGUGAAGAAGGUUUUCGGAUCGUAAAACUCUGUUGUCAGAGAAGAACAAGUUGGAGAGUAACUGCUCCAGCCUUGACGGUAUCUGACCAGAAAGCCACGGCUAACUACGUG